GGUUCCUUUAAUACAUCACAAAAACACAUGUUAGGAGAACAAAACCAUAAUCAAGUAGGGAAUUUCCUUAUAGUAUUCAUGAUCUAAUAGUUUAAACUUUUCUUUUAAGUAUUACCUUCAUUGAGUAUAUAUUUAACAAAUAUCCAGAUUCAAGUUAAUUAAUAAUUGCAAAUGGGAAAAUUAUUUAAAAUAUAAUAUUAAACAAAAAAUAUUUAAAUCUAAAGUAAGUUUUUUAAAAAAACUUCUGUCAACAUGAGACACAGCAAAGUGCCCUUUUUUUCCUUCAAGCAGAUAAUAGCAUUAAAUUUAAAAAUAAAAACCUAUAGCAUUUAGGCACUAUGGCUCAAAAUUGAAACAGGAACUACCUUAUUGGCAAAUAACAAUCUGUCACAUAGUACAUUUAAGAGAAAAUUUGUAAUAAAUUUUGAGGCCAACAUUUUUCUUUUGGUUUUUCACUGUUGAACAUUAAAAGCAUUCUGAUGCAUUUUUAAAAAUAGACUCGACAUUCAAAAUAUUUUCCAUUGUUCACUUCACAUGGCAAAAGCAAACCUGAAGAGUGCCUCAUGCUAUGUGCAGCUUGUAAACCAUGAACCUUUCUGACUUGUAUGGGAAGCACAGUUGGAAAACACUUUCCUUGACUAUAGCAGGGACUGGCUUAGACUUUUGCAAGGCAGCCAUGCCCUGCUGAACCUUAUUUAUGGAGGAAGCUCCUCUCAGUCUGAGUAAUUUCCCAUCAUGGCUCUGAUUUUCUUGACUCUUUGAACCUAGUUGUAUGUGUGUGUACGUGUACAGCACAUGGCACGUGCACACACAUACAGUCAUUUCCAACAUUACUUUUUGUUUUCUGCUACUGGUAUUGCUCCUUUCUAGUUAGCCUACUGGGGAGAAAGUCACUGUUGAGUCUCCCACCUUUCAUCAAACCCCACAAAUCACUCCUAAUUGUUAUUUCUAUCUUUGAAGAAUGAUUGUUUCUGAGGACAGCUGCUCCUACCCUCUUCCCCAUUUCCUUGGGUUCUGCAUUUAAAAAUUUCACUAACUAUGGGUUGAAAAUUUUUGAAAAAAAUAUCUCAUUUUCCUUGUCAUUAUUUCCUAAACAAUAGAGUAUGACAGCUAUAAAGCCAUGUACAGUACAUUAAGUAUGAAAACUAUUUAUAAAGCAUGUACAGUGCAUUAAGUAUUAUGAGUAAUCUAGAGAUAAUUAAAAGUAUGCAGGAGGAUAUUUAUAGGGUAUAUGCAAAUACAGUGCCAUUGUAUAUAAGGAACUUGAGUAUCCAUCUUUUUUUUUUUCUUGGUGUCUGUGGGAUAUGCUGGAACCAAUGCAAAUCAAAAGGGAUAAUUGUACAGUUAUAGAUUUAUUAUGUACACACCCAACACAUGUAUACAGACAACAGACCCAUGCACUAUUAUUAAUUCCAGAUUCUCAGCUUGCUGUCCAUAGUCUUGGGAUAGUUUUAGCACUUGUCAGUUCGUUUUCUGUCCCCUUAUAUAUCAUGCAGUAUUUGCCCCCGUGGUUCCCUUCUUCAUGUUGGCCUAUUCAUGAUGAUGAGUGAAAUCUUUUAGAAUCACAUUCAUCUCCCUUUCCUGAUUAAACAUCCCCACUGACUUUCCAUUCCAUACUGAAAAAAAACUUUUACUCUAGCAUGACAUUUGAAAAUCAUUGCAAUCAAAGCCUUCCUGAGUUACCCAAACCAGUUUUUUUUUUUCUUAAGAUUUUCAUAGUUCCAUACCCAAUGUGUAUUAUCUACUCAGUGAUUUUUGGAACUCUCUUGUCAGAGUUAUGCUCAAUUUUCUUUUUCCAUUUUUAAAUUUUUUGAAAAGAAUAUUUUAAAGAUUGCUUAUAUCCUUAAUAUAGACUAUCAGAAGGUUUAAGAUCUUUAGAAAUGAACUACUACAGAUUUGCUCACCUUACAGGUGAGAGACUGAGGACCACUGAGAGGAGACAACCUGCUCAGGACCCAGUCCAGUCCUGUUGGAUACCCAACAUAUACUGUUUUCAUUUUUAUUGGUUUAUUUUCAGAUGUUAAAAUUCAUCUAUUUGCCCUGAGUUGAAGACUCUAGCUUUAAUAAUUUUGUAUCCUAUGCAGUGCCUACAUAUAUUAGGCACUUGGUCAAUGUUUGAUGAACAAUAUGUGACUACCAGUAUAAAAGCAAGUGCUGUAAAGAAACUGACUUACUAUUCGGACUCUACAUAUGCUCUACUACAGGAGCAUUUUUGUGAGCUAAAUGACUAAUAAUGACCCCCAUCAUCACCAAGUUUCAAAUCAAAGAAAAUGAACACAAACUACAGGGAGUUUCUUGGAAGAGCUAAACUCAUGGCACUUGCUCUUCCUCAAGUUUUGAGUCCAUAAAGCAUAACCAGGUGGGAGAGAAACUGGUAUGAUGAGCGGUGGUGAUGGGUGGUAGAUGAGUGGUUUUUUACAUGAAAUGGAAAGAAACCCCAGCUCUUCUAGAAUAAGCGAUCAGUGUCUCUGGAGUUCCUUUCCCUUAUCUAUCCCCAAAUUCCUGCCCUCUCCUGCCAUCCUGACUCUGCCCCACCCCAUACCCCUAUGCCAGUCUUUGCAUCUUGUCCCACACAGCUCUGACCUCUGGGUUGCUCAGGUCAGAAUCCUUUGGGCCAUUCUGGCUCCUUUAGUGGUUAAAUCCACUCCAUUAGCAACUCCUGUUGUCACUACAUUGGGAAUAUACUAGAAUCUGAUCCUUCAUUACCUCUUCACCACUAGGCUAGCCUUUUCUGUAUUUCACCUGCCCACAGUGUAUAUUAUCUCAUAUCCUCAUUUCUAGGCCUGGGAAAUGUAAACUCCAAGAAGACACAGUUUUUGUUCAUUGUUUUUUAAUGCUGUAUUUUCUAAUGUCUAGAAUACUGUCUGGCACAUCUGGCACAUAGUAGAUACUUCUUACAUACUGAUUGAGUGAAUCGACACGUCAGGUGAGAAUUGUCAGGAUAGAUAAAAAAGCAUAAUCCCAGAUAUUCUUGAGAAGGGUUCAGGUUAGUUGGAGACCAAAACCAGUAGAAAAUGGUGAGAAAGCAAGCAAUAAAGUGCUUGGUUGUACAUCCCAAGAGAGAAAGAGUCUGAGGGUCAGAGUAGAGAAGGUGGUUCCUAAGCGACUCUUAUAAUGUGUCGGGAGGCAGUGAUUAGGCUCCAGGAAGAUUGACGUCCGUGCUAGGACAGAUCCUAUGACAGUGCAGCCUUAGGGAACAGAGAGUGUGUUGGGGAAGGAGCAGCCCAGCCCAGUAGUCAGAGGCCUGUACCUAGUCAGGAGGUGGGAUGGGAAAGUCGUGUGUGCCAUGUGGCUCAGAAUGCAGAGGAUCUGGAGAUUUGGGUAGGAUGUUUCAACUUCAUCUGACAGAAAGAAGACACUAGUAUAGGUUUGUCUUUUUGUUUAUUUAUUUAAAUUUAUUUAUUUAUUCAUUUCUUUAUUUUGCAUUACAAUUCUUAAUACACCAUUAUACAAUAAUUUAACGUAUCUCUGAUUAUAUAUAAGGUAUGUUGACACCAAAUUCACAUCUUCAUACAUGUAUUUUGUAUAAUGAUGAGGAUCCUUAAAUGUGGGAGAAAAAUAAGAAAUUCUCUUGUCUGCAUUAAUUUAAUUUAAAGAGUCUUUCUGAAUCUGCUUUCUUAUCUCCUUGCUUUCCUAGGCCUUGGCAGAGAAGGGAGGAACAGCUUUUAUAACCAGCUGUUUUAUGGCAACAUCAAGGUUGUCACAUCACUCUAACGUCACCUUGCCAUAGGUUCUUCUCAGUGAUCAGUCACUUAAGGGUUAAAAAGAUGCUGCUUUUGAGUUCUCAGUUUGCUGGUAUUUUCAGGAUAUUUCUAAGCCCAAUUCAAAUACCACCUGGGGGGGAUGGGCAAGAGAAAAAGUUAUGUCAAUUUAACUUUAUGGGCUUUUUUUGUUUUGUUUUACGAUUGGCAAUUUCCAUAUUCUGUCCUUUCUUGAUAUUAUUUCUGUUAUGCUGGCUGAUUUUACCUGCUGUUAAAAGUAAAUGAAAGAAAAUUAUCCAUAAUAGCUUUUACACUUUUGUUGUUUACCAUGACUCAUGUGUCACUGCUAUCAGAAACAGACAGCAUUUGAACAUUAGUUAUCCUUUGUGACACCCAAGGGCUCAGUGUUGGAGGCAUUAGCACCUGGAGAAACUGUAUUAUGGUUUCUUAGUUCUGUUUAAUAAGCAUUUUUGAAUGUGUUGUGUGCACCAUCCCCUAGGGGACCAAGAUGGAUCCAUCUCUUUACUUUUGAUUCCAGAAAACACUUCUCUUCAUAAUUUUCCUCUCCCCAAUGCUUUUUUUUUCUCCUCUCAAUGUUUUUUUUUUUUUUUUUCUUUUUUCCCCUAUCAUCAAUUUAAGAUAUCUUAAAGUAUUCUGGCUUUUUAUUUGUUUUAAAUUGUUAUUUUAAUUAUACAAAUUUGUGAGGCAUGGGGGUGACAAUUUGAUAGAUACAUAUAUACGGGGUGCACUGUUCAAAGCAGGGUAUGUACUUUUUAAUUUUUUAAAAAUCACUACUGAUAUUACCAUCCUACAUUAGACCCUUACUGUCCUUUGUGAGACUUCUUUCAAUACUUUUUUCACUGACACUCUGUUGAUGUGAACUCUAGAAUGAUGUAAAACACAGAAUUGGCAUUUGUUUCUGUGAUUUAAACUCCCCCUGGAGUGGGGUCCAGGCUCCUUGCCCUGCCCAUUGGAGUCUGCACUGUGAUUUGGCCUCUGCUUUUCUGUGACUUCUGUCAUGCCCUUUCGGUUCCACCCACAGUGUCCACUGAACACCAAACUUCUCAUGACGCUGUGCAGUAAAGGUCUUCCCAGCCUUCAUCCUGCUGUCCAUCCUGAUCUUCCCGCCUAUAGAUGCCUCCUGCCUGGCCCAGCUCAGGCUGCUCUUCCGGAUACUUUCCCUUCCAACAUUCGUCCAUGAUUCCAUGGCAUCUUGUCAUCUCUCUCUCUCUCUCUCUCUCUCUCUCACCAAAUCUGUGCUGGAAACUCGGCCCUUUCCCUGUUCCUUAAUGGCCAUUUCCAUUUAUUGAGAAUCUAAGCAUGAGAGGUGAUGUGAGCCACCAAGAUAGAUAUGGAUGGAAAAUACAGUGCAGAUUCUUCUCUGGUUCUCAGGCAGGCACUCAAGGAGUCUAUCAGAGCUCUGAGCUCGCACUUGACACUGUUGCAGCCAGUUGAACUUGAUGUCUAGUGAAUUAUGAACACUACAAAACAGAAGUAGCAAGGCAGGGGAAAGGUUGGCAGUGGGAAGUGACUCUGGCCGUCUGAGAGCAAUGUGGAAAAAAACAUUGUGCAGAGGUUCUGUGAGAAUUCUAAAAUGAAACAAAUUAGUCAUGUUUGGAGCUUUUUACCAGAAAAGAAAAACUGCAGUUAUGAAUUUUGGUCUGUUUGUUUUUGAAGCCAGGCUAUAAAUCAAUUAAAAGAAGACACAGGAAUUUAUACUAUAUUUGAAUAAAUUUCUUACCAAAAUGAUAACCAUAAAAAAAUAGGGCUAACAUAUAGUCAUCUGAAAAAACUCAGCUAUCUGAAUAACUCUUUUCUAUUUGGAAGUGAUAAUUAAGUAAAUAUUAUUUUUUAACUGAACUAAAAUUAACUGAAUAGUAAUAAAAAUUUUACAAAGUUCACAACUUUGUCAGUAAUCCCCUUAUUUUGUUUGAGCAACAUAGAAAUAAUUGAUUUCAUAUAGUCAGUAUCAUACUGAUAUAUAAUUUUUCCUUUUAGUUGAAUUGUUUCUAUUUGAUUAUAAUCAAUUUGUAUUAAAAAAGUAGAACAAUGGAACAAUAAAUCUCUCAUCGUUCAUAUUGUUCUUUCUACUUUUAAACCACUUUCAUUAUCAUUGCCUGAACUAUCUCAAUGAGUUAGACAGAUGAUUUUUUUAAAAAAGUACGAACACAAAGGCCAAGAAAAUACUUUGGUGCUGAGCAAGGUCAUGGAGCUAAUGAAGGGUAGAAGAUGCAAGAACAGAGACUAAGCUUCCAUGUCAGUGACCUUUCCCAACCCUCAGGUUUUUGACGGGCUUUUGGCUCAUCGCUUUAAUUUCAUCUCCUCUAUCUGCUCAUUGAUGAGCCAUCUGGCUACUGACCUCCUUGCUCCUACGUGACUCUCAGAGUCUAGAGUCUCUUGACCUUGCACACAUAUUUUUUGGUUUCUGCUUUGUGCUGCCAACGUCCCUUGCUGUUCUCAGUCUCAGAUCUGAAUGGCUCUGAAAACUGCAGAGCUGCGUAAUGAAUCCAUGCAAGGCACUGUGGGACUCACAAUCACAGGUGGCCUUGGCCCACUCCAAUCCCCAACCUCUGGAGGUGGUCAAGGAGUACAUGUGCCUUCUCCCAGUGUGUCACCUGUAGUUCAUGUUGAAACCACGUGUACACUGGGGAGUUAGAGCCUCUGUGUCGAUCCCGGCUCUGCACCACGUGCAGUUGCAGGCAGGCAGGUGUGAGCACACACGAGCAUCCCACCAGGCAUGUGCACACACAAGUACUCCACCCCCAACCCAGAGAUGUUAUGAUUUGAGAUUAUGGUCAUAUAUCUAAAUAAAACUGCUAACAGUUUUACCAGAUAUUUUGCUUCUAAAAGUGUAUAGAAAAAUCUCAUAAUUCAUUAUAAAUAUGUAUAAGAAAAAUUCUUACCUUCUGCUUUUAAAAAGAGACUUCAUUAUUUUGUUUUAAUUAUUUUCCCCAGGAAUUUCCCAUUAAUUCUUACCAUGAAUGUACUUUAAAAAUUCUUCUUGUCGAGACACUAAUAUUAUUUCAUUCAGACUGUCUGGGAACAUUGCUUCCUUUAAGCCUGACACAGUCAUUUUUGCUUCAUUUAAAUGAUAUUUCAUUAAUGGUUAUAGGGAAAAAACAGUUCUUAAUUUAGUGUGUUUGUACAUGUAGAGUUAUGUGUAGUGUGGAGAGUUGUGUAUUUGUGUAUAUGCACAUACAGCUUUUUAUCGUUGUGUAUAACUGUGUUUAAUGGUCAAUAAUCAUCUUUUCACUUAUAAGGUACAUAUGGAUCACUGUUUUCCUCUUUGGUGGCUGGCUAUUUAUAUUACUAGUAUUUAAUAUUUUAAUUUGGGGUAUACUGUUUUCUUUUAUUUAUUAAAUAUUUUAGAAAGCCAUGUACUAGCAGUGUUUCUCUCCUAUGUGAAAUCUCAUGUAUUUGAAAACAAAGAAGUAAUAAAUAACAUUUUCCUGCCAUGUCAGUGCACUCUAUGCUAGUACUAACAAACUCAUGCAAAUAAAAUUUUAUGAUCAUUAAAUGAGUGAAGAUGUGAAAUUAUCAUAGUUUAAUAAAAGUUACUUUUAUAGCAAUUCUCAGUGUAACUUAAGAUUACCACAUCAUUUCUUUAUAUCUAAUAAAAUUAGGUCAAAUCAUACCUCACCUAACAGAAGUAAUUAGGCCAGUCAAGCUAACAGGUGUUUUUCCAAAGGCUAUUUUGUGUCUGCUUUGAUUUGUUUUCCUAAUAGCAGCUUUGUUGAUUAGAAGUCCAUUGGUGGUAGUGACUGGCAGACCCCUUGCUUCUGACAGGCUGAGCUCCCACCCACACAGGCAUGCAGGGGGAUGCACUGGCCCCAUAACCAAGCGGUAACCAAGCCACAGGAGGCACGGGGCUCUGCCUGCUGCAGGGCUGGAACACCACCCAGGAGCCUUUCCUCCGUGUCUUAUGCUGGCCUCUCCACAAGUUUUCAUUUUCUGGGCUUUUCUCUGAUUUUUAUACCACAGCCUGCCAGGAAUGGAAAGAUAACCCUUCCUUAGAUCUAGAACCUUCUUGGAGAGGGUUUGACUAAUUGAAUUAGAGCAACAGGACCCAGGGUCUUUUAGGAUUGACAAGCUCUCAUUGUAAGUAAUGCUAAAUGGAAGGGAAAUCAAUUCUUAUAAAGGAAAGGGCAAGUGAGAAACUGUUGCCCAGAAAGAUGUUCCCAACAAGCCAGAAUUUAUCAGAUGCUUCCAGUGCGCCAGGUGCUAUCCAAGCAGCCACAAGCUUGGUUCCAUUUAAUUUUCAUAGCAGCUUAGAUAUGAGCACGGUCACCACCCAUUUGAUACAGACAAGGAGGUAGUUUGAGAGGAUCAGAGGCACCCUACCACCCAUGUGACAGGACUGAAACAUGAACCAAGGCCUCUGUCACUACACGUGGUGCUCUUAACCACCAUAUGUGUUAUCCUGGCUCCCUCAAUGAUCAUUAGUGGUGAAUAUCUAGAUAUUCAGUAGAAAUAUGAUUUUAUUUCUAUAGUUUACCCAGUAAUAAAAUACAUGUGUAACUCUCUGCCAUUUUUUUCUCUGUUGCUUUUCUUUUAUUGAAUCAUCAUGCUGCUAAGUAGACUUGCUGACUGCCUACCACCCAGGAAGAAGGUGUUCAGGCAAUAUUAGACUUUGUCUUUUUAAUUUUCAUAUGAAAACUUGAAGUACAAGUAAUUGCUUUCAGGCCUGGAGACCACAGCCAUAAUUUAAUUAGCUUCUCAAGUCCAAAUUAGAUUAGUAAAGUUGUAAUGCAUGAAAAAGCACAGAAAAAUACUUUACUUUCUUUUCCAGUGUCUUUGUAACUACAGAGUAAUAAAAUCCUUAUCAAAUUAAAGUUCUGUAAUAUCUGUAUGGUGUAAUAAAUUUAGUCUUUAACUAUUCUGAAAUAUAAUGAGUCACUGAGUCGGUUGAGUAAGCCCAUCCAUUGGGCAAAAAUACCAAAAAACAUUUUCAUGCCUGUCUAUAUCAUAGUAAUGGCGUCCCAUUUAAAUAAGCAAAUCGACAUUGCUGAUGUUGAGAGCAAAGGUUAGUUUGAUGGACACUGCAUCCUAGAUUGAUUGUUCACCAUCUGUUAUUUUCAAUAAUCAGUGUUACCACCACCCAUAAAUCACAUUUGCCUCAUGAAAAAGACAGCAGCAGUUUAUAUGUAUGAUUUUUAUGAUAAGCAUCUGGAGUGUUACUUUUUUAUUUAAACAUAAAGAAUAGGAGGGUAAUAAACUCUUCCAGUGUAGUGAUCUACAUUUUUUGUUACUAUUCCUUUUUGGUAUUUUUUGAAAUUUUGCUUUUUUUGUUAUUGUUGCUUUUUAGUAGACAGCAGGAAUCUUCCAAGAAUGAAUUAGAAGUUUUUACCAUUUUUUAAGAAAGUGUAGUCUUAGCAGAGACAUAAAUUCUCUUCUUCAAUUAAACUCUCCUUGCUUAUUUUGUGGAAUUCAUAAACAUAAGGCAUAUUUAAAUUUCUUUUAUAAGAAUGGCCAAGUGUGGGCAGAAAGCUCCUGACUUUUGUGGCUUGGUCAACCAUUAGCUACUGGGAAGCAGCCUGGUGAAAGCUAUACAGCAGUGUGACAAGAAUGGGAGACUUUUAAUCUAAAACUGGCUCUUGAUUUCUCUUUUUUUCCUCUUUCUCCUCCUCCUCCUCCUCCUCCUCCUCCUCCUCCUCCUCCUCUUUCUCUUCCUUUUUUCUUUUGUUAAGUCAAAGAUGCACAAAAAUCUAUUAAUUCAUUUAACAAAUGCUUCCUGAAUGUUCACCACUUGCAGGGUGGUGAUCUAGGUAUGGGGAAUACAUCAGGAAUGAAGACACAUUUCCUUGUCCUCCUGAAAUGUACCUCCCCAGCUUCUCUUCUCUCCUUGCAAUGCCACCUGCCUGCCCCUAGUGACCUGCCUGCCCCUGCCCAGCACACUAACUUGAAUAAUUCUUGAAACUGUCAUUACUGUGCAAAAAGUUAGGGAAUGUUCAGUUAUAGAAAAUUGUGAAUUGGACCUUGAGUUGCUUGGCUAUUCCUGCUCUUUUCCUGGAGGUUUAUCUCCUUAAGGAUCUGCCUCUGCUCCUUUUCAGCUCAACACUGCUUCAUUGACUUUGGCCAUCCUAACAUAUUUAGACUGGUUCUGUCUCCACUGACUUUCUGAUCAGCAGUGCCAUUUAGCUCCCUCCCCAGUGUGGUGUAUGUUUCUCUCUGCACUCUACCUCCCAGCCCCAUACUACCCUUAGCUCCUUGCCUUUUGAUAUUCGUGAAAGGUAUUCUCAAAGUCUCUUUAAUUUGGAGUUCUUGAUUUUCCCUAAAUAUAUCUAUAUUCACUUUUUUUCAUUUUAAUGAUUUGAUAAGUCCUUUGGCUUCAGAGGUAGGAUCCACAUUGUCUUUGUCUUAUCCUUGGUGAAAGAUUUUGGCUACAUUAUUAGCAGACUGAUGCACUCUGAGUAGCCUCUUGUUAUUGUCAUCCUUAUAAUAGUAGAUGAACACAAUUAGAAACAUUAAUCAGCCGGUAGCACUUGAUGGUAUGCACUUGCAAUCUGGCUCAUGAUGAGUUGUCCCCCUCGUCAUACAGACUGGGAAACAGGCAGGGUCCUCUUAAACACUGAUGGAAAAUAGAAGAGAUUAAGUUGAUCUUAAUUAUUUAAUCAGGAAAUUUGGGAAGAAUGCACUUUCUGUUAUUUUAAUUAGAAACAUCUUUUGGUUAUGAAGUAAGAGAGAGAAGCGAGUUGGGGGUGGGAAGUGGAGAGAGAGAGAGAGACACAUUGAGGGAGACAGCAAAUUCAGUCUUUUCCCUUGAAGAAUUUGUGUAGGCUAGUUAACUGGUUUGCUUAUAUGAAAUAUCUAGAGAAGUCUAUAGGUUUUUCCAGACCUAGUAAUAAAAUGAUAAAAGGAAGUUAAAGAAAGUGACCUUCAUUGAGAGCCUGCUACUAGGCAGGUAUGUGCUGGGAGCUUUAUAGAUGUAAGCUGAGGUUCAAAAAGGCAAGAAAUGUUUGUGGGGUUAGGUAUUGAGUUCAUAUGGAACUGCAUAUUGUCUUGCACUAACUUACUCAGCUGUGAAAAUGCUACUAUUUUUGUUUGCCUUCUGAUUUUUUUUUCAUCUUUUGGUGAAAUACAACAGUAAGAUUAUAGAUAAUAUGCAAAAAAGCAAAAGUGCAAAUAAGAUAUUUGGAAUUACCAUACUUGCAUUGACUUGAUAAGGCUUUUUCUUCCCUUUUACAAUAAAAAUCUUUAUCAGUGCUUUCCAUGGAUGUGAGAAGAAGGAAGAAAAAUUAAGCAGAAAGUUGUUUUUUUUUUUUUAAAUCAAGUUGAAUAUUCUCAAUAAAAAAUAAGGCUAAAAUUUGUGUUCAGUUCAAGGCCAUUCAGUAACUAUAUGUUGAGCACAUACCAUUCUCUAGUCUGGAUGCUGUAACACCAAGGUGGAAGAAAGAAAAUAUUCAUGAUGUAAGAUUUUAGAAACCAGGAAGAAAAGGUCAAAUCAGAGGUUAUACAUGUCAAUGCCAGAAUUGAGACAAUGUACAAUAAAGAAUCUUUAUUAAAAACUGGAUGAUUCUAACGUAUGUCUAUUAUUACUUCAUGAGAGAAACAAACUUUCAUUUGCAAACUUUAAAAAGUUUUUGCACAAGCACCUGAAGUGAUUUUCUUUUGCCCUAUUAAGAUUUCUUUGAGAUACUGAGUCUUUGCCUUUCUCCUGUGAUUAAUUGUAGAGGUAAAAUAGGUUCUUACAGUAAAAUAUUUUCCUAAUAUGAAAAAAAUUGGGCUUCCAGUUCUUAACACUGGGCUGAGCAGGUCCUAUAGCUUAUCUAGGAGCAAUGGAGGGGGUGGGAAUGGGCUGAUUCCAAGGCUGUCCUCUAUUCCUGUUCCAUGUUUGUUUUUCUACCUGUUUUUCAGUGAAACUUACUGUAGUAUUAUCCCCAUGGCAUAGAGAGAGCAUGGCAGAGAUUAAUAUGCACAUUUGAGCAAAGAAAGGUAAUUGGGCAGGAGAGAAAAUGUCAGGCCUGACCUUCCUUUCUCCUCUCUUUGUUCUUUUUUCUUCUUCCUGGCAUAGUUAUCUAUUCCCCCUUAGAUGUCUUUGUAACACAGUAAAGAUAUGGCUGUUUAAGAUCACAAAAUGCAAACAGAAAGCAAAUACAAUAUUUGUAAUUUAUAAUAUACAAAUAAAUCUAAAUAAAUAAAUAAUAAAAAUCAAAUACAAUUCCACCCUCAAAUUUUGGCCAGUUGAAUGGGAUGACCUGAAGGGAGGAGAAUGAAGUGAGGUGGAGCAAAAACACCCAUGCAUAUUCGCACACCUGCAGACAUGAGCCCAUGCAUUUAGAGAGCUGGAAGCUCUUCUGUACACAGAAUUGUCAGGAAAUGUAUUUGUUUUUUCCUGCUGUUUCCUCUAUCUCUAUUAUUGCUUUUCAAAUGCAAAUUACAUUAUCACUGAGCUUCAUUUGCUCUCUGGCCUCUAAUAUUUAGCAACUGUGCUCUUCGUGGAGUUGACAAAGCAACCCACUCAGUGGAAAAUGCCCUGUGAGUGUCAGCGGCAGAGACCAGAGAUAUCAGAUUAUAUUUUAGUAGCUCCAUCCUCCCAUUAGAUUUGAACCACAGGGUGACAUCUAUCUUUGCCAGGACUCACCUGGACAAGCUAAAUCAUUAUCUUUUGGGGUUGGGGUCUGGGUAUCAGCCUUUAAUCUGUAACUAACCAACCAACCAACACUCAGUGUGGUUUCUGAUAAGACCUCGAUGUUAAGAAGCACUGAUUUCGAGAAGAGUCUCACUCUUGCAUAAAGGCCUUAGAAUUUGCCAAAGAGUAUUUAGAAAACUUAAAGGAAAGUUUGUCUUUUGAUUUUUUUUU